ACAGCCACAUCACAUUGAAACAUGAGUUCCCGUUGGAUAACCAAAGUUAAGCAACGUCGAGCCUGGUCAGUACCUAGAUGGGUGUCCGCUUGGGAAUACGAGGUGCUGUAAU